UACAGAGGUCCCGAGCGUUGUUCGGAUUCACUGGGCGUAAAGGGUGCGUAGGCGGUUCGGCAAGUCGGAUGUGAAAUCUCCACGCUUAACGUGGAGGAGCCAUUCGAAACUGCCGUGACUCGAGUCCGGUAGGGGAGUGUGGAAUUCCCGGUGUAGCGGUGAAAUGCGCAGAUAUCGGGAGGAACACCAGUAGCGAAGGCGGCACUCUGGGCCGGUACUGACGCUGAGGAGCGAAAGCGUGGGGAGCGAACAGG
rnacentral:rRNA from 1 species